rnacentral:rRNA from 1 species
CCUACGGGAGGCAGCAGUGGGGAAUAUUGGGCAAUGGACGCAAGCCUGACCCAGCAACGCCGCGUGAAGGAAGAAGGCUUUCGGGUUGUAAACUUCUUUUGUCAGGGAAGAGUAGAAGACGGUACCUGACGAAUAAGCCACGGCUAACUACGUGCCAGCAGCCGCGGUAAUACGUAGGUGGCAAGCGUUGUCCGGAUUUACUGGGUGUAAAGGGCGUGUAGCCGGGUUGACAAGUCAGAUGUGAAAUCCUGCGGCUUAACCGUAGAACUGCAUUUGAAACUGUUGUUCUUGAGUACUGGAGAGGCAGACGGAAUUCCUAGUGUAGCGGUGAAAUGCGUAGAUAUGAGGAGGAACACCAGUGGCGAAGGCGGUCUGCUGGACAGCAACUGACGGUGAGGCGCGAAAGCGUGGGGAGCAAACAGGAUUAGAUACCCUAGUAGUC